rnacentral:lncRNA from 1 species
UAGUUCCAUCAGAGGGCUCGACCUAAACUUGCUUUCUCGAUUGAGAUUGAAUAUUGAUUAUUAAUUUCAUGUCAUCAAAUGGUGGUGACUCGGUAUGGGGUGUAACAAGCCUGGUUGAGGUAAUCUUCGGCGCUCUCUUUUUAUUUCUUUGUCAUAUUUAAUUAUAUUAUCUUUAUAUUCUCAAGCAUAAGAAUUGUGGAUAUUUUCUUUAUUUAAAGAAAAUUGAUUUAAUAACAUCAAGGUUUUAAAUAACUAUAUGGAAUGUUGUCGAAAGGUCUUUGAACCAUAUCGAAUUAAGAGGGAGAGAUGAGGAUGAGAGAAAGUGAGGAAGAGAGAAUGUAAGGCAUUCAAAGGCCAAGUGGGAGAUGUUAGAUAAGUGUGG